AUGAGUACAGGGAAUAGUAUAAAAUCCGCACAAUAAGACAAAAGAGUACAAAUCUAUACACUGAUUACCUUUCACUUCUGCUAUUGAAAGACAACUACAUUUGGGAAGAAUGAACAAAGGAUUAUUCCUCGGUGUAUUACUUGCCGUGUUCUGUGCAAUUGCACUGGCACAACCAGAGGCCUCUUCGGAUGCGGAAAUAGAGGACAGAGAGGCCCGGGGAUUGAAAGAGGUAGCGCAUUCUGCAAAAAAAUUUGCAAAAGGUUUUAUUUCAGGGCUUACAGGUUCAAAACGAGAGGCAAUGCUUCGCAGUGCUGAGCUAGAAGAUGAGAGGAGAUGAGUUUCAUGAAGAGGAAAGCAGCACUGAAGAACAACUAUUUGUCUGAAUAUUUCUAUGGACUGAAUUUAUUCUGAACAAUGCGGUGCUGAAGAAUAAGAAGAUCCUGCAGAUCCCCUAAUACAUAUAGUAUAACCACCUGCUCCUGUUAUGGGCAAAUAAAAUGAGCAUCAAAAAAUAAA